rnacentral:piRNA from 1 species
UACCCAUGGGAUUAUUACAAGGGCCAUACCU